rnacentral:rRNA from 1 species
GACGAACCGCGGGGGGCGUGCCUAAUACAUGCAAGUAGAACGCUGAAGGAGGAGCUUUGCUUCUCUGGAUGAGUUGCGAACGGGUGUGUAACGCGUAGGUAACCUGCCUGGUAGCGGGGGAUAACUAUUGGAAACGAUAGCUAAUACCGCAUAAGAGUAGAUGUUGCAUGACAUUUGCUUAAAAGGUGCAAUUGCAUCACUACCAGAUGGACCUGCGUUGUAUUAGCUAGUUGGUGGGGUAACGGCUCACCAAGGCGACGAUACAUAGCCGACCUGAGAGGGUGAUCGGCCACACUGGGACUGAGACACGGCCCAGACUCCUACGGGAGGCAGCAGUAGGGAAUCUUCGGCAAUGGACGGAAGUCUGACCGAGCAACGCCGCGUGAGUGAAGAAGGUUUUCGGAUCGUAAAGCUCUGUUGUAAGAGAAGAACGAGUGUGAGAGUGGAAAGUUCACACUGUGACGGUAUCUUACCAGAAAGGGACGGCUAACUACGUGCCAGCAGCCGCGGUAAUACGUAGGUGGCAAGCGUUAUCCGGAUUUAUUGGGCGUAAAGAGAGUGCAGGCGGUUUUCUAAGUCUGAUGUGAAAGCCUUCGGCUUAACCGGAGAAGUGCAUCGGAAACUGGAUAACUUGAGUGCAGAAGAGGGUAGUGGAACUCCAUGUGUAGCGGUGGAAUGCGUAGAUAUAUGGAAGAACACCAGUGGCGAAGGCGGCUACCUGGUCUGCAACUGACGCUGAGACUCGAAAGCAUGGGUAGCGAACAGG